UGGGGAAUAUUGGACAAUGGGGGAAACCCUGAUCCAGCGAUGCCGCGUGGGUGAAGAAGGCCUUCGGGUUGUAAAGCCCUUUAGGUUGGGAAGAAGUAUAUGAGGGGAAUAUCCUUGUAUAUUGACGGUACCGACAGAAUAAGCACCGGCAAACUCUGUGCCAGCAGCCGCGGUAAUACAGAGGGUGCGAGCGUUAAUCGGAAUUACUGGGCGUAAAGGGCGCGUAGGCGGUAGUAUGUGUGGGAUGUGAAAGCCCCGGGCUUAACCUGGGAAGUGCAUACCAAACUAUAUUACUGGAGUAUAUGAGAGGGUGGUGGAAUUUCCGGUGUAGCAGUGAAAUGCGUAGAGAUCGGAAGGAACGUCAAUGGCGAAGGCAGCCACCUGGCAUAAUACUGACGCU
rnacentral:rRNA from 1 species